rnacentral:rRNA from 1 species
UACGUAGGGUGCAAGCGUUGUCCGGAAUUAUUGGGCGUAAAGAGCUCGUAGGCGGCUUGUCACGUCGACUGUGAAAACCCGGGGCUCAACUCCGGGCCUGCAGUCGAUACGGGCAGACUAGAGUGCGGUAGGGGAGACUGGAAUUCCUGGUGUAGCGGUGAAAUGCGCAGAUAUCAGGAGGAACACCGGUGGCGAAGGCGGGUCUCUGGGCCGUAACCGACGCUGAGGAGCGAAAGCGUGGGGAGCAAACAGG